UCCAUUGGAGCCAGUGAGUGGGCUCAUAUUCCCCAUCUUGAUCAUGGCUUUAACAAAGUCGCUGAAGAAAAGCGUAGUGUUUGAGCUAUAAGCUUCGACCAACGGUUUUGUAGUGGUUUGAGCUUCAUCGCUUGAGAACAGGAUCUGGUCGGACGCCAACAGCCCCUUUUGGUUCAGCAAGUUCUUGUAGUAAUGGUUGUCAAAUAAAUCGGUUGAGUUUCGGUCGAGAACAGUGGUCUUGUUGCCGUCAUCGGUGAGAGGGCAGAGAGCUUGAAGAUCAGAUACCAUCAUGGACUCCAUGGUUG
rnacentral:lncRNA from 1 species